rnacentral:snoRNA from 1 species
GUUAAAUGAUGAAUACUUCGUUUCACGACGGUCAACUGUGUUCUCCCAGGACUGUUUAAUCCCGGGAUGUUGAUGAGACUCGCCUUUACAGGCAUAAUACUGAUA